rnacentral:lncRNA from 1 species
CGGGGCCGGGGCUGGGCGGGCGCUGGGCCGUGAACAAUGAGCAGAGGAGGAAACUCCGCCCUGGAGCGCGACGGGCGGGAGGGCCGGCGGCCUCCGCGCCUUGGGGGGCUGUGUGUGCGCGGGGGCCAGGGCGGGGGGCUCCUGCGGUGCAGCCGGGCCCCGUCCACAGGUGUCCCGAACAGGUGUGUCCCCCCGAGUGCUUCUAAGUGGGCCCGGCGGGAUCCCCCAGCACACCGCCGGGGCCCUCGCACUACGAGCAAAUCCGGAGCGGGCGGACCCCCAGCCUUGCGUGGUAACUGAUAACCAUUCACGGCCUCCCGGGCUGCUGCGCGUUCUGCAGCGACCCCGGAGAAGCUCAUCUCCCACCUGCCAAGUGCAAUUCACCUGCCUGUGGGGCCCCCAUCCCGCACGGCUUCUGAGCGGGGUCUCUCUGCAGCUAGGUGUGCAGCGGGCAAGCUGGACUAAUUCACUCCUUCACCUCUCCAAGGCACAGCAUCUGGCCCAGGUUGAGGGCUCAGUAGUUGCAAUAUUGGCAUUCAGUAAUAAGAACAACGUGAAUGCUAUCUGGAGUCCACCAAUCCUUACCGUGUGUGCUAGCACUGAGCUACGUGUUUUACAUGGAUGGGCCCAUUGGAUCUUCACAACAACUCCACGAGCAGAGGGAGGAUGUUGCCUCAUGUUCAUUGCUGACUCCCAGCUCCUAGAAGAAGCUCCACAAAUGUUUGCUGAUUGAAAUAAUGAUGAACACUAAGAUGGUGGAUUCUGCCACAAGUGAUUCUAGGGACCAGGAUGAGCAUCACACUUGGCUGGGAUCCUGGAGGAUAGAGAAUGAGUGAAAGGUCAAGUCACUGAGGUGCAGAGACACUGCCUUCCUGUCCUAAAGUCCAGUUCAGGCCAGCUCUCUCCAGAGUUCCAGGCUUUUGGUCUCCGUCUGCAGAUCUCCUUUGCUUUGAAUGAGUCUGUCCCUGAGGAGGGCUAGGAGCAACCUUGAGAAGGAACAUGAUGGUCACUAAUUCAGCCAGAACACUCUCAAGGUGCAUUCUGAGCGAGGCUGAUGCCAGGUGCAGAACAAACACCUCUUGCGCCUGGGAGCUUCCUGAAGUUUGGAGAAUGUGUCAGAUAUCACCUGUUUGCCCCUGGGGGCCUAGCCCCACCCCUGUCUGCAUUUCGUGCAGACUACACUGGGGCCUCCGUUGCCCUCCGUUUGGCCAGCAGGAAGCUCUGGCAAAAGAUCAGUGGGAUAGAGGAAGAUGCUUUGGGGAUUUAUUUUUCCCGCUCCCUCUCUGGGGAUCCCUGAAGGGACAGCUGUGCCUUCUGUCCAAGUGUCCUAUUUUCCCUCUUCUCCAGGACUAGUGGUAAACCUUUUCCUAGUUCCUUCAGUUCAAAGGGGGAAUAGGUGCCUUGUUCCAGCCCUGGGGUAUAGCCCUGUCUCUUCUGGUUCCUCUUCAAUCUGCCCUGUGUAAACAGCCCCUUUCUUUUUAAAACUCUCCUACAAUAGGCCAGGCACAGUGGCUCAUCAGGCCUGUAAUCCCACACUCUGGGAGGCAAAAGCGGGCAGAUCAGUUGAGGUUGGGAGCUCAAGACCAGCCUGGGAAACAUGGUGAAACCCUGUCUCCACUAAAAAAUACAAAAAUUAGCCAGGUAAUCCCUGCACUUUGGGAGGCCAAGGCAGGCGGAUCACAAGGUCAAGAGAUCGAGACCAUCCUGGCCCACAUGGUGAAACCCUACUAAAAAUACAAAAAUUAGCCGGGUGUGGUGGUGCGCACCUGUAGUCCCAGCUACUUGGGAGGCUGAGGCAGGAGAAUUGCUUGAACCCGAGAGGUGGAGGUUGCAGUGAGCCGAGAUCAUGCCACUGCACUCCAGCCUGGGCGACAGAGUGAGACUCCAUCUCGAAAAAAAAUCUUUCCUGCAAUCAUCCUAGUUAGAGUGUGCUAUUUGUUUUCUGCUGGGCACUGACUGAUACAAAGAAUAGGACCUAUAGAUAGAAAAUUGCUGGUGGAGGCUGGGCAUGGUGGCUCGUGCCUGUAAUACUGGCACUUUGGGAGGCUGAGGCAGGCGGAUCACGAGGUCAAGAGAUCGAGACCAUCCUGGCCAACAUGGUGAAACCCUACUAAAAAUACAAACAUUAGGCCAGGCGCCGUGGCUCAUGCCUUUAAUCCCAGCACUUUGGGAGGCCGAGGUGGUUGCAUCACCUGAGGUCAGAAGUUCGAGACCAGCCGGACCAACAUGGAGAAAUCCCAUCUCUACUAAAAAUACAAAAUUAGCCAGGCGUGGUGGCAGGUGCCUGUAGUCCCAGCUACUUGGGAGGCUGAGGCAGGAGAAUCACUUGAACCUGGGAGGUAGAGGCUGUGGUAAGCUGAGAUCGCGCCAUUGCACUCCAGCCUGGGCGAGAAGAGCGAAACUCCAUCUCAAAAAAAAAAAAAAAAGAAAAAAAGCUGGGCAUGGUGGUGUGCACCUGUAGUCCCAGCUACUCGGGAGGCUGAGGCAGGAGAAUCGCUUGAACCCGGGAGGCAGAGGUUGCAAUGAACCUAGAUUGUGCCACUGCACUCCAGCCUGGUGACAGAGCAAGACUCUAUCUCAAAAAACAAAAAAGAAAAUAACUGGUGGAGCACAAUUUUUCCACACUGCAGGGGAGUGAGUGCGGUAGGAGUCUGGAGGAGUGAACGUUCUUGUGGCCUGGGGCAGACGGAGAGGUCUUCCUGAAGGUCAUGGGAUCUGAGACCGUGAAGGACAGUGGGAACUCACAUGUCUGAGUAGCUCCUAGCACGGUGCCUGAAGCAUUUUUGAACAGAACUGAACUGGAAUGCUUGAUGCUGCCUGGUGUUCAACAAUAGCUUCCAACCCCCUUCCUAGGCCUGGGUCCCAAGCAGGCCCCUUGGACUGUUGGGGAAGAGGCAGUCACUGUGCUGGGAUAUGUCCCUCCAUGGGACCCCCCUGCCUUUUGCAGCGUUCACACAGCCCUUCUUAUGUGUCAGAUGGACCAGGUAUGAGUGUAUGCAUCUUAGGUCUCUAGUGGAUUCUGGGUCAAGCAUGUGCCAUGGGUCACAUGUCAGGUGGCACAGGUAUGAGUGUGCACAUUUUUUUUUUUUUGAGAUGGAGUUUUGUUCUUGUUGCCCAGGCUAG